GAUGAACGCUGGCGGCGUGCUUAACACAUGCAAGUCGAACGAAGCACUUUAUUUGAUUUCCUUCGGGACUGAUUAUUUUGUGACUGAUUGGCGGACGGGUGAGUAACGCGGGGGUAACCUGCCUUGUACAGGGGGAUAACAGUUGGAAACGGCUGCUAAUACCGCAUAAGCGCACGGCAUCGCAUGAUGCAGUGUGAAAAACUCCGGUGGUAUAAGAUGGACCCGCGUUGGAUUAGCUAGUUGGUGAGGUAACGGCCCACCAAGGCGACGAUCCAUAGCCGACCUGAGAGGGUGACCGGCCACAUUGGGACUGAGACACGGCCCAAACUACUACGGGAGGCAGCAGUGGGGAAUAUUGCACAAUGGGCGAAAGCCUGAUGCAGCGACGACGCGUGAGCGAAGAAGUAUUUCGGUAUGUAAAGCUAUAUAAGCAGGGAAGAUAAUGACGUUACCUGAAUAAGAAGCACCGGCUAAAUACGUG
rnacentral:rRNA from 1 species